UGGGGAAUAUUGCACAAUGGGCGGAAGCCUGAUGCAGCGACGCCGCGUGGGGGAUGAAGGCCUUCGGGUUGUAAACUCCUUUCGACAGGGACGAAGCUUUUGUGACGGUACCUGUAUAAGAAGCACCGGCUAACUACGUGCCAGCAGCCGCGGUAAUACGUAGGGUGCGAGCGUUGUCCGGAAUUACUGGGCGUAAAGAGCUCGUAGGUGGUUUGGCGCGUCGUCUGUGAAAUUCCGGGGCUUAACUCCGGGCGUGCAGGCGAUACGGGCUGACUUGAGUGCUGUAGGGGAGACUGGAAUUCCUGGUGUAGCGGUGAAAUGCGCAGAUAUCAGGAGGAACACCGAUGGCGAAGGCAGGUCUCUGGGCAGUAACUGACGCUGAGGAGCGAAAGCAUGGGUAGCGAACAGGAUUAGAUACCCUGGUAGUCCAUGCCGUAAACGGUGGGCGCUAGGUGUAGGGGGCUUCCACGUCUUCUGUGCCGUAGCUAACGCAUUAAGCGCCCCGCCUGGGGAGUACGGCCGCAAGGCUA
rnacentral:rRNA from 1 species